GCUUGAGUGGCGGAACUGGCAGACGCACAGGACUUAAAAUCCUGCGGUGCUAAAACACCGUACCGGUUCGAUUCCGGUCUCAAGCACCA
rnacentral:tRNA from 1 species